AAACCAACAGGGAUUGCCUCAGUAGCGGCGAGUGAAGCGGCAAGAGCUCAGAUUUGAAAUCUCACCCCUUGUGGGUGCGAGUUGUAAAUUGCAGGUUGGAGUCUCGGUUUAGACGUGUGUGCAAGUCCCUUGGAACAGGGCGCCACUGAGGGUGAGAGCCCCGUAGUGUGCACGAUCGACGCUGUUGAGGCCCUUCUGACGAGUCGAGUUGUUUGGGAAUGCAGCUCUAAGUGGGUGGUAAAUUCCAUCUAAGGCUAAAUAUUGGCGAGAGACCGAUAGCGAACAAGUACUGUGAAGGAAAGAUGAAAAGCACUUUGAAAAGAGAGUGAAACAGCACGUGAAAUUGUUGAAAGGGAAGGGUAUUGGGCUCGACAUGGGAUUUACGCAUCGUUGCCUCUCGUGGGCGGCGCUCUGGGUUUUUCCUGGGCCAGCAUCGGUUUCUGUUGCAGGAUAAGGACCUUUGGAAUGUGGCUCCUCGGAGUGUUAUAGCCAUUGGUAGAUGCUGCAUAUGGGGACCGAGGGCUGCGGCGGACUCGUUUUCGUCUCGGAUGCUGGCACAACGGCGCAAUACCGCCCGUCUUGAAACACGGACC
rnacentral:rRNA from 1 species